UACGUAGGUGGCAAGCGUUGUCCGGAAUUAUUGGGCGUAAAGCGCGCGCAGGCGGUUCUUCAAGUCAGUGGUGAAAGCCCGGAGCUCAACUCCGGAACUGCCAUUGAAACUGUAGAACUUGAGGAUGAGAGAGGUGAGUGGAAUUCCCAGUGUAGAGGUGAAAUUCGUAGAUAUUGGGAAGAACACCGGUGGCGAAGGCGGCUCACUGGCUCAUUUCUGACGCUCAGGCGCGACAGCGUGGGGAUCAAACAGG
rnacentral:rRNA from 1 species